UUUCGUUCCUAAGUACUAGUGCCGCAGGAGAUUGACAUUUUAUAACAGCUCCUGCUGCUCCAGUGCUUAUCAAUGGAA
rfam:Orchesella cincta Ocin01_Sc0245, whole genome shotgun sequence.